AUAUUUAGUCUGGUUAGUUAUUGUUACUGUAACCAGUGCAAAAUCUGCUCUGAUGACUCAACGUUAAUGUUUGAGCCCCUGAGCGCUAAAAGAAGUGUUUUGUAAAGUAUUAAAACUACCUUUAAUGGAAGGAAAAACGGAUCACUGCUUCCUAUAAGAGUUGGUUUUCUCUGUGUGUGUAGCCACUCUGUGCCUGGUGGACUUGGCUGGCAGUGAGCGAAUGGUGAAGAGCCAGUCUCAGGGUGACCGUUUCAAAGAGAUGACCGCCAUCAACAGCUCACUGUCCAACCUGGGCGUCGUUAUCGCCGCUCUGGCCAAAAAGGAGACUUACGUAGCUUACAGGAACUCGAAGCUCACGUACCUCCUUCAGGGAUGUUUGGGGGGGAAACGGCAAAACCUUGAUGUUUGUUAACAUUGCUCCGGAGCCCGACAGCUUUGGGGAAACUCUGAACUCAUUGAGGUUUGCCAGCAAGGUCAGUGCAGUCUUGUUUCCAGUGUUCAUUGGACAGAGUACAUUAAUGAUGUCCUUACAUCAGCUGUUUAUGGUAAACCAAAGCCAUACUCCAUAUCCAUUUUAAUACCUUGGUGUGUAAUUCAUACUCACAUUUUGUCUGAAGAGUAGGGAUGUUCCUGGCGUCUUAUUUACUAGUCGACUAAUCGAGGGGGAAAUAAUUAGA